AAACAGUCUGGUGUCAGGAGCGAGAGACAGACUCAUGACAUCUCCAGUGUGUCCAGUAAAUGUCGUCGUCUGCUGGCCAGUCUCAAUGUCCCACAGGGCACUGGAGCAGGAGCAAAUGACAAGGCAGGAGGGACACAGGAAGAAAGACGCAGGGAACACAAAAGCCUCAUACAUUCAAACCAAGAAAAUGAUCACCAUGUGAAAUCUGUGAUGACUAAUAUUCAUUGUCAACCUGACUACAUUUGGAAUUAGCUAAGCCCAAGCAGCUAGGCAUAUUUGUGAAGGAUUUUCUUGACUGGAUCACUUGAAGUGGGAAGACCCACGCUAAAUCUGGGCCACCCCUUCUGGUGGGAGCUCACGUAAAAGGACAGAGAGUCUUCACCCCCACUGGCGAGCUCAUCUAUCUUGCUGUUGAGGCAUUCCUUUAUUGAUUUUAAGAUAUAUUCCAGCCGGGCAAUGGUAGUGCACGCCUUUAAUCCCAGCACUUGGGAGGCAGAGGCAGGCGAAUCUCUGUGAGUUCAAAACCAGCCUGGUCUACAAGAGCUAGUUCCAGGACAGGCUCCAAAACCACAGAGAAACCCUGUCUCGAAAAAC